rnacentral:rRNA from 1 species
UGAACGCUGGCGGCGUGCCUAAUACAUGCAAGUCGAGCGAACGGACGAGAAGCUUGCUUCUCUGAUGUUAGCGGCGGACGGGUGAGUAACACGUGGAUAACCUACCUAUAAGACUGGGAUAACUUCGGGAAACCGGAGCUAAUACCGGAUAAUAUUUUGAACCGCAUGGUUCAAAAGUGAAAGACGGUCUUGCUGUCACUUAUAGAUGGAUCCGCGCUGCAUUAGCUAGUUGGUAAGGUAACGGCUUACCAAGGCAACGAUGCAUAGCCGACCUGAGAGGGUGAUCGGCCACACUGGAACUGAGACACGGUCCAGACUCCUACGGGAGGCAGCAGUAGGGAAUCUUCCGCAAUGGGCGAAAGCCUGACGGAGCAACGCCGCGUGAGUGGUGAAGGUCUUCGGAUCGUAAAACUCUGUUAUUAGGGAAGAACAUAUGUGUAAGUAACUGUGCACAUCUUGACGGUACCUAAUCAGAAAGCCACGGCUAACUACGUG